UCAACCCAAGACUUGGGUAUAAAAAUAACCCAAGAUUUUUUUUAGAGUUGUGUGCAUUAAAAUAUGACUUUCGUAAUGGACAUUAGUAAAUAUUUUUUAUUUAAACACAGCUUAUGUAAGCAUACCAUUUUUUUUAGAAGUUAUAUUUGUAUGACCCUAUUUUAUUGAUACUUUCUACAUCCUGAAAUAUUAGGCUUUUUAAUUAUAAGCGUUUUAACGGGCAAAAAAAUAGCACCAGCUUACACCAGUCUCCCCUAAAGAUGUUUUUCUCUUCCUCUAGAAUUCCUUUCUGAAAUGUACAUUGUUUGGAGAACGCCAGUCAUUCUCUCAGUUGUCAUCAUCAUCAUCACCAUCAAUGGUCAUUACGUGCGCCUAUUCCCUCCUUCCAUGUUCCCCUUCUGUCUGGGUCCACAGAGCCUACACAUGACAGAUUGCAAGGCCGCGACGAGUAGAAGAUGAAGUUAAAUUGUAAACGAUGCCUUUCUCAGCUAUGUUGAUUGAUGUUGUUGUGAUGACAUGGAUGAAUUACUUUUAGAGGAGAUGUAGCCAAAGAUCUCAAUUGUAAUGCUAUUACAUUAUCUUUUAAUUCUUAAGGGGUAUUUUGAAAUUUUGCUUGGUGGAGUGCAGAAUUAUCCUGUGCAUGUUGUAUCGAUUAGUGUCAACAGGAUUUAAGCCAUUGAGGAUAUGUGUAAUUUAUCCCAACCCAUUUGAUUUUAUCAUUAAACCAAAUCCCACACUA